CCUAUCUAAAUUUUACUGGUUCUCCAUGGAUGAGUAGGCAGCACCAAUGGUGUGAUGAAAAACGUGUGGAUAUUUACGAAUCCUCACAAGUACCACCAUCCACAAAGUGUCAUUCUUUAUGACAAAAGCACCACCAUGGAUGGCUUGACCUAGUCAAGCACACUAAGGAUAAGGAUUCUUUUAACUGCUUGUGUGGAAUUCAUGUACUCAAAAUAAAAUACAUGUAUAGAUAACUGGAUCUUUUGAAAAACUGC
rnacentral:lncRNA from 1 species